rnacentral:rRNA from 1 species
UUGGAGGGCAAGUCUGGUGCCAGCAGCCGCGGUAAUUCCAGCUCCAAUAGCGUAUAUUAAAGUUGUUGCAGUUAAAAAGCUCGUAGUUGAAUUUCGGGAUCAAUGGAUCGGUCAUGCCGUUGGUAUGUACUGGUUUUAUUGAUUCUCACCUUCUAAAGAACCAUGAUGGCAUUAAUUUGUUGUUGUGGGGAAUUAGGACUGUUACCUUGAAAAAAUUAGAGUGUUUAAAGCAGGCUUACGCUUGAAUACGUUAGCAUGGAAUAACGAAAUAGGACAUCGCAUUCUAUUUUGUUGGUUUCUAGGAUCGAUGUAAUGAUUAAUAGGGAUAGUUGGGGGCAUUAGUAUUCAAUUGUCAGAGGUGAAAUUCUUGGAUUUAUUGAAGACUAACUACUGCGAAAGCAUUUGCCAAGGAUGUUUUCAUUAAUCAAGAACGAAAGUUAGGGGAUCGAAGACGAUCAGAUACCGUCGUAGUCUUAACCAUAAACUAUGCCGACUAGGGAUCGGAUGAUGUUAAUUUUUUAAUGACUCAUUCGGCACCUUACGGGAAAC